GAGCACGUAGGUGGGUUUGUAAGUCAGAUGUGAAAGCCUCCUGUUCAACGGGAGAAUUGCAUCUGAAACUACUGAUCUUGAGUGUAGGAGGGGAGAAUGGAACUUCUGGUGGAGCGGUGAAAUGCGUAGAUAUCAGAAGGAACGCCGGCGGCGAAAGCGAUUCUCUGGCCUAUUACUGACGCUCAGUGUGCGAAAGCUAGGGGAGCAAACGGGAUUAGAUACCCCGGUAGUCCUAGCCGUAAACGAUGGGCACUAAGUAGAGGGGUUU
rnacentral:rRNA from 1 species